UAUGGCAGAAUAGUGCAAUGGAUUUAAACCCCAUAUAUAAAAUUGAAAUUUUUAUUAAAA
rnacentral:tRNA from 1 species